GCCGGGCGUUGUGGCGGGCGCCUGUGGUCCCAGCUACUUGGGAGGCUGAGGCAGGAGACUCGCGUGAGCCCAGGAGUUGGAGAUUGCUAUGAGCUGUGAUGCCAUAGCACUCUACCCAGGGGGAUAGCUUGAGAUUCUGUCUCAA
rnacentral:SRP_RNA from 1 species